rnacentral:lncRNA from 1 species
UUAACAUAAUUAAUUUUUGCAUUUAUAAUUUAAUUUAUGAAAUAAUUAAUAUUCUUUAAAUGUGGAGCACGUUUUCACCUGGUUAUCGUCGAAGAUUAAAUUUAAAUUGAUUGCUGAGGAUACUAAAUUUAGAAGAGUGCAAUUUUCAAACCGUAUUAAAAGAUGCUUUGUCAAGAAAUAAAGUAGUAAGGGAAAGAGUGUUUCCAGUUUGCUUUCCUUCAAAAAGUUCUCAUACUGGUCAUUUUACUAGAGAUUUUGUUAUUUUCACUGGAUUUUAUUGCUAUGUGUUAUUGCUGUAAUGUUACUGUUGUGAUGUUUUGUGUUGAUAGACAGCUUGGCUUACCUUCCCGUUGGCGUCUAUUGUUAAAAAUGAAUCAUAGGUAGUUUCAUUAUUGGAAUUUACUGCUUUUAUUUAUUUACUAAAAACAAAGAUAACAUUUUGCUAAAAGUGCAAUUUAAAUCUUAGUUUGUUUGUUUUUUUGUUAAUCCUUUUGUACUUCAAAACAGAUUUUAUAGUUACAUUUUUGAUAAAAGUUUAU